GGCUGUGUAGAUCCUUCCUGACAGGGAAUCGGGAUAAAAAGUUUGAGUCCGCUCGAGUAAAUGUUUGGCGAGUCGGAGGGAGGGGGUUAAAUCCAGAGAGAGAAGAUGAGCGACACAGAGGCGUCUGAGCAACCGCAGCCCGAGAGAAAAGUUAUCGCAACCGGUGUGCAAGGAACUGUGAAAUGGUUCAAUGUGCGCAAUGGAUACGGCUUUAUCAAUAGAAACGAUACUAAGGAAGAUGUAUUUGUUCAUCAGACUGCAAUAAAAAAGAAUAAUCCAAGAAAGUUCCUCAGAAGUGUGGGGGAUGGUGAGGUUGUGGAGUUUGAUGUUGUCGAAGCGACUAAAGGCUCAGAGGCAGCGAAUGUGACCGGUCCAGGGGGUAUACCUGUCAAGGGCAGCCGAUACGCCCCCAAUAAACGCAGAUUUCGUAGACGCUUUUACCCCCGUAAUGCACGUCCUACUGAAGGAGAGGAGAAAGCUGAGGGUGCUCCAGCUGGUCCCACAACUGAGGGAGAGGAUGGAGAAGAGAAAGGAGCCCCUCAGCCACGUCCUCGGCGCCAGCGUCCACGCAGGAGACCUGUUCCGCCACAAGGCGAGGGAGAAGCAGGAGAGAAAAACGAGGAAGUAGAUGGUGCCCAGCAGAGGCCGCCACCUCGCAGGUUCAGACCACGAUUUCGAAGGCCGUUCCGUCCUCGGGCACCCCCUGGAGAGGCUCAACAGACGGCUGCCCCUGUAGAAGAGCAAGAGUCGCCCCCUAAAGAGGGCCAGACCAAUGUGGAGCAAACAGAAGGGCAGCCCCGGAGACCCCGCAGACCUUUUAGUCGGCGCAGACAGAGGAAGUCUGAAUCCGGUACCUCUAAAGAUGGAGACGAACCUGAAAAAGCCCCUGAGUCACCAGCCCAGGCCUCCAAGCCUGCUAAUGUCAAAUCCUCUUCUGAAACAUCCCCAAAACAAUCCCCUAAAAAUGAGGCACCUGCCCCUACAGCUUCCAAGCCCUCAGAAUGAUUUCUAUGACCUGGAAGAAAUGUGACCCUGGCAAGAGGUGGGACUUCCUGAGCUAAACUGGUGGUUCCCAGAUGGGUUAGUUUGGGGGGUAGGACCUCGCCUGUCUCGUCAAACAUUCAAACAACUUGCCCCUCGCUUCUACAUCCUUGUCCCGUCCCUAACCUGAUCCACCGCUUGUGGUCUGGACCCUUCAUCUGUCUGGGUGUGAGAAAGAGAGAGAUGGAUGGAAAGGAAGGGGCUGGUGGGGAAGGGAGGGUUGGGUUGAUGCAUACUUGGCCAUUUAAAAGUAAAUAGCAAAAAAAAACCUGCUCUAAAAAGCCCAUUAUAUUUACAAUAUUUCCCCUUAAUAGUUUUGUUCUGUACUAUGGGCAGUGAGCAGUAGAGAAAACGUGACCAGUUUGGCUACUUUAAGUUCAUCAAAGAGAGGAAAUGCCAUCCAGUGUGAUGAGUGCAGCACAGGCUCUUCUCUUACUUGUAACUAAAUAAAAGGGGAAAAUAUGCAUCCAAUCAAAAUGUAAAAAUUGUCCUUUUCUUUUGGUAUGUACUUUACUUUGAUGGGGAUUUGUGCAAUGCCAGUCAAGUAAAUAAAGAGUAAAUAGAUUA